CCGCCUUUGGUCCGGGGACCCUCCGUGCCUCCGGGGCUUAAGGAACGCGCCGAGAGAAGAGGCGGGAGGCUUAUAUCGAAACAGCCACCGCACACGAGUCACCUAAGUGCCAGACCACGAACCUGAAAUUCGGGGAUUAAGUCAUUUGCCUAAAGCCAUACAACUUGCUGAACGAGAUUUAUGAAAAAAGCAAUAAUCUCGGGCUCCACCUCUCCCGCUCGGAGGCGGCCAUUGGAACGCUGUUAGCUUUCUUCUGGUGGUUACCCAGGUAUCUCGCUCGACAGGCUUGUGUGGCCAUUUCUUGAGGACCAAUUUAGGAAGUUCAUUAAGCAUGGACUCGAGCCUCACCACCCCUGGACGGACCCUGCCCGUUUUUAGUUUUCCUUUUGGUUUCCUCUCUAACUUUAAACACCCUUCUCAUUAUUUUUGUCACCUCCCACUGCUAACCUCUACCUUUGUGUUGUUAAGGCUGAACAGGACACCAUCCUGGGCCCAUAAUUAAGUCUGUGGGUUCCUACUUAAAGGGGCAUGGUGGUUUAUGUGGUUCGGCCUCAGUAAACAAUGUAUUUCAGACUCGGUUUGAUGGCUAUGAUUACAUGGCUUGUAUUGUACAAAGGUUUAUUCUCCCUGUACCAAGUACCUUUCUUUUCUUGCACGAUUA